GGAAACAAGGGAAAGCCUUCAUGGAUAAUUAGACUUGGAAGAAACCUCAAGAGAUUCAGUUCUACACAUACUCUGGGAAUGGAAUAGACCUCAUUCUUUUGUGAGGUUGAAGCAUGUCUGUGGGAUGAAAAGAGAUGAAAAAUUAAAUCAGCAAGUGAUGAUUCAGUGAACCAUUCCAUUAUGGAAGACUUCCCUUUUAUUCUCCUAAUCAUUUUUUAUUAUGCACCCUAGGAAUAAGCCGUGGCUCACAUAAACCAGGUGAUACAUAUAUUUUAAGUAUUACUGGUGUAAUGCUGAACAAGAACAUGACUGAAACAAAUGUUUUGUAUAAGUAUUUAAAAUAUAUUUUACAAUAAAAUAAAAAAUAUAUUUUACAAAGGUCUACAAACAUGCUAAUUACAAAAUUUAGAUGCUUUAAGAUAAUCAAAUUAUAUGUAUACAGUAGGGUAGUAGGCGGUCAUUAUUUCUUUACUAAAUCUCACUAACAAAUCUCUUCCUUAUCUGAAUAUGCAGUUUGAUAAAUUCCAGAUGUCACACUGUAACGUGUGUGUAUACACACACACACACACAUAGAAUCGGUGUUUUAGUUUUGUUUUGUUAUUAAAUAAUUUACAGUGUUCUGCUUUUUCUCCCACCCCUCCCUAAUAAGAGAUGCUAAAAAGAACACCUAGUCGUUACAUACUUAUGCUAUUAGUUAUAGAUACUUUUGGGGAAAGGCAAAUUUAAACACACGUAGAAAUGUCCAACUGCAUGUACUGUACUUUAUGAAUUGAAUUGGCAGGGUGAGAGUAUAAUAUUUUUACUCAGAUUUAGAGAUAUGUUGCAUUUGUGCUGAAAAAUUUUUAAUUAGCCAAAGUAACCAUAAUAUUGUGUUAUAAAGCAACAGUUUACCAAUUGACUUCACUAGAAUUUAGCAUGUUUAUUGGAGCAGUUUAAAACCAACCAAAUACAUAGCUUAGGCAGUUGCUUUCAUAUAAAUGCCUUGGUAUACAUUUAAUCUUCUUAAGUUUGGCCUGCAAUUAAAUGAUAAUUUGUAUUAAAACUGUGCAAAUAAACAUGGGUUUGUUGACAACAUAAAACAGAACAAAUAGAUACACAGAACACUGGAAACAUAUUCAGUAUUAAAACUAUUUACAUGUGUGGUGCUGGCCAACUUUUGACAUGCUGUUUCAAUAAAAUACUGACAGGAAAAAGACUAGAAUAAUUUCCUUUCAAAGUUUCAAAUGUUCAUGUUUACAAAUUUGUACUGCAUAUUGAUAUGUAUACAUGCAUUAUAGUCAGCAGAUGUACAAAAAUGGUUACAGGAUCUUUCUACUUAGCUGAAAUGUAUCUACAUGUCUAUUGGCUUUAUCUUUUAAACUGCCUGAGAGUCACAAAUUUUAAAGUUAAAUAGAAUAGAAAACCUUGAAAUUAUAGUACUUUUUGAUCAAGUUAUUAUAUUUUAAUUGUUGUUAAAAGUGGCAGAAUUUUGAUUUUGGAUUGAAGGUCACAUACUUAUGCACAUGAUAAAGUAUAACGUAAUAUCUUGGUUGUAGAGAAUGGUAUAAAUAGUUCAAAUUUUUACUAGAACUGAAAAGUAAUAAAAUCAUGAGUUUACAAUGAUUGAAGGUUAAUGUAUUUAAAGAUUUUUUAUUGAAUACAUAAUUCAGUCUAUCUUUCAUUUUUAUGAUCAUUUUUUAGAACAUGUUGAUGUUUUAGAACUUUACAAUUAUUUCAAUUUUGCCUGAAAUUGCGUUUUCACCAUUUCCUUUGUGACAUAAAGAUUUUGUGACCUUUCUACCAAUUACACUGUCUAAUCAGACUGAUUUUCUUCUUUAUUGAUAAUUGUAAAUUAUAGAAAAAAAUUACUUAAUAAAAAC
rnacentral:lncRNA from 1 species